rnacentral:rRNA from 1 species
CGGCCCCUAAGGCGAGGCAGAGAUGCGUAGCUGAUGGGAAGCAGGUUAAUAUUCCUGCACCGUCGUAUGAUGCGAUGGGGGGACGGAUCGCGGAAGGUUGUCCAGCGGUUGGAAGUGCUGGUUUUUGGCUCAUAGAAGGCGCUUAGGCAAAUCCGGGCGCGGAAUUCAAGGGGUCGAGACGAGAGACUUAGGUCUUGAAGCAAUCGGAAGUGGUUCCAAGAAAAGCCUCUAAGCUUCAGUCAUACGAGACCGUAC